rnacentral:rRNA from 1 species
GGGGGGAGCAAGCGUUGUUCGGAUUUACUGGGCGUAAAGGGCGCGUAGGCGGCCAGCACAAGUCAGUUGUGAAAUCUCCGAGCUUAACUCGGAAAGGUCAACUGAUACUGUGCGGCUAGAGUGCGGAAGGGGCAACUGGAAUUCUUGGUGUAGCGGUGAAAUGCGUAGAUAUCAAGAGGAACACCUGCGGCGAAGGCGGGUUGCUGGGCCGACACUGACGCUGAGGCGCGAAAGCCAGGGGAGCGAACGGGAUUAGAUACCCCGGUAGUCCUGGCCUUAAACGAUGAAUGCUUGGUGUCUGGGGUUAUAUAGUCCCCGGGUGCCGUCGCUAACGCUUUAAGCAUUCCGCCUGGGGAGUACGGUCGCAAGASGKG